GACGAACGCUGGCGGCGUGCUUAACACAUGCAAAUCGAACGGAAAGGCCCUGCUUUUGUGGGGUGCUCGAGUGGCGAACGGGUGAGUAACACGUGAGUAACCUGCCCUUGACUUUGGGAUAACUUCAGGAAACUGGGGCUAAUACCGGAUAGGAGCUCCUGCUGCAUGGUGGGGGUUGGAAAGUUUCGGCGGUUGGGGAUGGACUCGCGGCUUAUCAGCUUGUUGGUGGGGUAGUGGCUUACCAAGGCUUUGACGGGUAGCCGGCCUGAGAGGGUGACCGGCCACAUUGGGACUGAGAUACGGCCCAGACUCCUACGGGAGGCAGCAGUGGGGAAUAUUGCACAAUGGGCGGAAGCCUGAUGCAGCAACGCCGCGUGCGGGAUGACGGCCUUCGGGUUGUAAACCGCUUUCGCCUGUGACGAAGCGUGAGUGACGGUAAUGGGUAGAGAAGCACCGGCUAACUACGUG
rnacentral:rRNA from 1 species